ensembl:snRNA U6 U6 spliceosomal RNA
UUGCUUUAACUGCACAUAUACUAAAAUUGGAAUGAUACAAAGACCAGCGUGGCCCCUGUGCAAGGAUGAUACACAAAUUCAUGAAGUCUUCGAUGACAAAAAAAAAAUUUCU